GAUGAACGCUAGCGGCAGGCCUAAUACAUGCAAGUCGAACGAGAUUAAGGAGCUUGCUCCUUAUGAAAGUGGCGCACGGGUGCGUAACGCGUAUGCAACCUACCUUAAUCAGGGGGAUAGCCCGAAGAAAUUCGGAUUAACACCGCAUAAAAACACAGGAUAGCAUUAUCCAAUGUUCAAAUAUUUAUAGGAUUAAGAUGGGCAUGCGUGUCAUUAGCUAGUUGGCGGGGUAACGGCCCACCAAGGCGAAGAUGACUAGGGGGUCUGAGAGGAUGACCCCCCAAACUGGUACUGCGACACAGACCAGACUCCUACGGGAGGCAGCAGUAAGGAAUAUUGGUCAAUGGAGGCAACUCUGAACCAGCCAUGCCGCGUGCAGAAAGACUGCCCUAUGGGUUGUAAACUGCUUUUAUCCGGGAAUAAACCUAAUUACGUGUAAUUAGCUGAAUGUACCGGAAGAAUAAGGAUCGGCUAACUCCGUGCCAGCCGCCGCAGUAACAC
rnacentral:rRNA from 1 species